GUUAGAUUGGCUAAUGGUUUGACUGUUUAGUUUAUUGUUGCAAAGAACCAACACUUCGAUUCAUUAAUUCUUUGUAUUUUCUUUGGUCUCAAUUUCAUUGAUUUCUGCUUUAAUCUUUAUAAUUUCCUUCCUUGCACCACUGUAGGGUUUGGAUUGUUCUUGUUUUCCUAGGCCCAUGACAUGCAUCAUUAGGGUAUUUAUUUGGGCUCACUCUGUUUUUGUGAUGUGGGCAUUCACAGCUAUAAAUUUCCCUCUUAGAAAUACUUUCAUUGUGUCCCAUAAGUUGUUAUGUUGUAUUGUAUGUUGUUCUGUUAUGUUGUACUGGAAUUAUCUUUUAGUUCUAGAAACUGUCUUAUGUUUUCCUUGAUUUCUUCUGUAACCCAUUGUUUAAGAUUGUAUUGUUCAGGGCUGGGGAUUUAGCUCAGUGGUGCGGCCACCUGCCUUGCAAGCGCAAGGUCCUGAGUUCGAUCCCCAGUACCCCUCGCCCCCAAAAGAGUAUAUUGUUUAGUUUCCAUGCUUUUGAAUAAUUUCUGUUUUCUUUUGUUGUCAAUUUCUAACUAUGUUGCACUAUAAUGUGAUAAUAUACAUGGUAUAAUUUCAAUUCUUUUAUAUUAAGCUUGCUUUAUCAGCUAGUAUGUGGUCUGUUUGGAGAAAGUUGCAUGUACUGCUGAAAAGAAUGUAUAUUCUGUUGUUGGAUGGAACACUCUAUAGAUCCUUAUUACGUCCAUUUCUUUGAAACUUUUGUUCAACUCAAUUAUUUCUUUUUUCCUUUUUUAAUCCAGUUGAUUUGUCUGUGUUAGUGGGGAACUGAAAUCUCUCACUAUAAUUGUGUAUAUCUGGUCUUUUAUGUCAAGUAGUUCUUGUUUUAGAAAGUUGGGUGUGCAGUUUUCAAUGUAUAUAUGCUAAUAAUUGUUAUCUCUUCAUGUUUGAUUGUUCCCUUAACCAAUAUGUAGUGACCAUCUUUGCCUCUUUUGAUCAGUUUUGUCUUGAAGUUCACUUUGUCUGGAUUUAGGUUCACUAUACCUACUUUUGGGGGGGUUCCUGUUGCAUGUGAUAUUGUUUUCCAUCUUUUGAUUUUUAUUGUAUUAGUUUCUUUUUUUGUUAAAUGUGUUUCUUGUAAACAGCAUACUUUAGAAUUUUGUUUCUUAAUCUAUCCUGCCAGCCCGUCUUUUGACUGUGGAAUUGAGACCAUUCAUGUUGAGAGUUAUAACUGAUAAGUAUUAAUUUAUUCCUGUCAUUGCCUUAUUUUCCUAUUGCUAAUCCCUCAUCUUUCCCUUCUACUUAACUACUCACCUUACCUGAUAUAUUCAUUCUAUUAGAUAUGUUCUUAUUUUUAGUUUCAUUGUCUCUUUCUAGUGUAUCCUUAAAAUUUUUUUGGAGUGUUGAUUCAGUAGUCAGGAAUUUCUUUAGGUGCUCCUUAUCAUGAAAGUAUCUUAUUUCUGCAUUAACUUUGAAAGAUAAUUUUGCAGGAUAUUUCAGCCUGGAUUAAAUUGUUUUAUUUUAGGGUUUGAAGCACUUCACUUCAAGAUCUUCUGGCCUUAAAGGCUUGUGUUGAGUAGUCUGCUGUAAUUUUAAUGGGUUUUCCUCCAUAAGUGAUUCAUUGUUUUUCCCUAUCCAAUUUUAAUACUCUAUUCUUGGGUUGGACUUCCUGGAUUAUGGCUAUGAUAUGUCAUAGAGAAGUUCUUUUCUGAUUAUGGCUAUUUGGGAUUCUAUAUGCCUCACUUACCUGUGUGUUAAAUUCUUUUCCCUUUUUGAGAAAGUUUCCUGCUUUUAUUUCAGUAAAUUGGAUUUUUAUAUCAUUUCUGCUGAUUUUUCACUAAUUCUGAUUAAUCAUGACAAGUCUUCUUUGCAUCAUCUAGGAUAUUUUGGAUCUAUUUUUCAUGUUCUCUUGAUGUUUUUAAGGUUUCUCUCAUUAAUUAUUCACCAAAUAAUAGCCUUCUUUUCCUUUUUUUUUUUUUUUUGGUACUGGGGAUCAAACUCGGGUCCUUGCGCUUGUGGCAAAACCACUAAGCUAAAUCCCCGGCCCCAUAGCCUUCUUUUCUAAUUCUGACCUUCCAGUCUCACAUUGGUCACCUCUGCUACCCAUACUUUGAAUCAAAUGUUUAAUCUCCUGAGUUUCUAUUUGCAGCUCUUUUAUGGACUCUAAUUCUUUUUUGCGCUGGUAAUUCAUUUUGCAUCAUUUUCUGUAGCUCUUUGAGAUUUUUAUUAGUAUCUUCUAUAAACCUGCUAAUCAUUUUGUUUAUCUGGCCCAUUAUGUUUUGGCUUAUGUCUUCUGUGAGCUUGCCAAAUGCCUUAGUGAUCUAUUUUUUUUUUUUUAUCUCCCAGGUACUGUUUCAAAUAAUUCAGGUAUGUGGCUUUUAUUUUCCUUCCUUUCGAUGCCCUCUGUAUCAUCUUUGGGGGAGUUAGGAGUUUUUGGAGCCAUUUUAUUAGCUUGUCUUCUCGUUUUCUAUUUUGUUUCUUUGUUUGUGUUGAAGUGUACAGGUUGAUUGUAGUGGAAAGCUGUGUUUAUAGUAUGGAGACCUCUUUAGUUCAUGUUUACUUUUCAGUGGUAUCCUCUGAGCAUGGCUAACUGUUGGCCAUUGCCUCCAUCCUAGGUUCCAACCACCUCUGUUUAUUUGAGAUGGGAGGUUGCAGUAUAUUUGGCACAGUACCCAAUUUUCCAGGAAUGGGGCACAAUAUUAUUAAUUUCAAUUCUUUUACAUUUACUUAAGCUUGCUUUAUUGGCUAGUAUGUGGUCUGUUUUGCAGAGAGUUGCGCAUCCUGCUGAAAAUAAUGUAUAUUCUGUUGCUUGGUGGAAUACUCUAUAGAUAUCUAUUAAGUCCUAAUUCAGUAUACCAAGAAAAUUGGAAAUCUAUCUCUAAAUAUAAUUAUUACACAAAUGUUUAAAACAGUGUUUAUAAUGGCCCCAAAGUGGAAACAACCAAAACAUCCAUUAACUAAAGAAAGGAUAAACAAAAUGUAUCCAUGCAAUGAAAUGUUAUUCAUUCUUAAAAAGGAGUAAAGAGCUGAAAUGUGCUACAAAUGGAUUGAAUCUUGAAACAAUUAUGCUAAUUGAAAUAAGCCAGAUGGGAGAGGCUAUGACAUGGUUUAGAUCUAAAAUGUUCCCACAGCCGGGAAUGGUGGCAGAUGCCUAUAAUCCCAGCACUCAGAGGCUGAGGCAGAAGAAUUGUCUGGAAUUUGAGGCCAGCCUGGUCUACAUAAUGAGUUUAAGGACACCCUGAACUACAUAGUGACACCCUAUCUAAAAAAAAAACCAAAUAAAUUAAUAAAAAUGUCAUGGGUUCAUAAAUGGGGCUUUUAGGAAGUGAUUAAAUCCUGGGAGCACUAUACUUUAAUCCAAGCUCCAAGCUGAAUAUGCUGUUAGGAGCUAGUGCCCAUUGGGAGAUGGGUGACAGAGUUGUGCCUUUCGAGAGUAUGUCUCUCAUUCUUCCUCUUACUGUCCUCUCAGCUCCCUGGUUGCCAGGAAGUCAACAUUGUUGUUGCACCAUGCAUUCUGCCAUGAUGUUUCUGCCUUAGAGCUAGCCAAACAUGGACUAAACUGAAAUCAUGAACUAAGUUGAAUCUCUCCUUUAUGUUGAGGGUAUUGGAUAUUUUGUCCCAGCAACAGGAAAGCUGAUAUAGAAAACUGCUGUGACUUUACUUGACUAUGUGGUUCAGAAGCCUUUGGAACUGGUUUGUAGGAGGAGUUUGGAAAAGUUUGGAGAUGUGGGCUAAGAAGCUCUAGAAUGCUCUAAGCAGAGCUUAAUGGGCAUGUCUGGUUGGAGGGCAGAAGACCAGAAUACUGAUAAAAAUGGGACCAGUAAUUGCCAGGUUCAUGAAGUUUCAGAUGAAAAUGAGGACUCUAUUGGGAACUGGAGUAGAAGCCAUGUAUGUUAAAUUCUGGCAAAGAUGUUGUCUACAUUUUGCUCAUGUCCUAAGACUUUGUAUGAGAUUGAAUUUUAAAAUGUUGAUCUAAUUAAUUAGUUAAUGUUGGUGGAGAAAAUUUCAAGAUAGAACAUUUUGACUAUUGCAUGAGUAUCGCUGGCUGUUUUUAAUGAGAUUUACAGUGAAAAUUUGGAGCAAAAAGCAGAUCCAAGACAUUUGGAAACUUUGCAGUUUGGCCAGAAAUGAAGCUAAGUAAAGUUGGGGCCACAGAAGGUGUGGCUGACAAACAGAUUAGAACCAUUUUUUAAAAGCCUAUUACUUUGUACAGAGGCAGUAGGAAAGAGCACAUCUCAGGAAUUGACCAGACCUAGCUAUUGCAGGCUCAAUGGUAGAAAUGGGUAAGCUCCUUUGAAAGCCUUUGAAAAGAGAGCCUCAGGGUGCCAUGCUCAUUCAGGGCCACAUAGGAAAGUUUUCCUGCUUUCAGCCAUCCAGGCACUCAGGUCACUGAAGCUCUGAGGGGGUCAGGCUACUGCUCAAGCUGGUGGCAGAUCUUGGCAUCAUCCACAUAGGCAUGCAGAAUAUAAGAGUUGUGGGAUCAUAGAGGCUUCCACCCAGAUUUCAGAGGAAGUCCUGGGAAGCCAAGAACUGCAGAGUGACAGGGUGACAGUUUCUGCCAGUAGCUCCUGGUAUGCCAAUGGAUGAAACAACGAGAAUGAAAAUUAAGCUGCAGUGAAAACCCCAGGAAGUUGGAGAUGCCAGGAACACAGAACAUUUGCUGAGAAGAGUCAUAGGCAGUGAACAGAGCUAGUGCAAGAGAAAGCCUCGUGUGGCUUUCCACCAAGGCCACAAGUGUGGGACUGCUCAGGUCUUUUUGCACUCACAUCUCACCACUUGCACCCCAGCUGGGGCUGGGCAUAGAUCUAUAGGACUUAAUGGCUGGGUUUCCCUGCUGGGUUUUGUUUUUCCUCUGGUCUGAUUCCUUUCUUUGCCCUCAUUCCUCCCUUUUGGAAUGGGAAAGUUUACCCUAGACCAUUGUAUGUUGGAAGCAUUUAACUUUCUUUUUAUGUUUUUACAGAGGCUCGCAGCUAAGAGUUUGCCUUGAGACUUAGAAGAGACUUUAGACUUGGACUAUUGAGAUUCUGGCCACUCUUGAAGAUGGAGUGAAUGUAAUUUGCAUAAGCAAAUGGACAUCAAAUGUUUGAUCUAAAAUAUGCUCCUAAAAUUUCAGGAGUUCAGGGAUGGGGUUAUUGGAAGGUGAUUGAAUCAUGAGGGCACUAUACUCUGCAGAGUAAUCCAUUGAUGAGUUCCCAGGUGAAUGUGCCAUCAGGAGGUGGGCCCCAGUUGGAGGUCAUGGGUUACUGGAGGCAUGCUGAAGGCAGAUGUAUCUCUCACUCUGGCUCUGGCUAGUCAUGUCUACUUCUUGACUGCCAGGACAUUAGCAUCUUCACUCCACCACACCCUUCUACAAUGUUUCUGGCUUGGAGCUAUCCAAACAUGAGCUGAAACCAUGAACCAAAUUAAACCUCUCCUUUAAGUUGUUGGUUAUUUCAUCCCAGCAAUGGAAAGCUGAGUAACACAGACUACAGCUACUUUUACUCCAUUUACAUGAAAUGUCCAGAAUAGAUCAAUCCAUGCAGACAUUAAGUAAAUUAGCAGUUUCCAGGAGAAAGGGAAAAGAGGGUAUUAGAAGUGACUGCUGGGCCAGGGAUUUAGCUCAGUAGCACCAUGCCUGCCUUGCAAGUGCAAGGUCCUGAGUUCAAUCUCUGGUACCAAAAAAACCCAGAAGUGACUGCUGAUAGGUACUUUUUGGGGUGACAAAAAAUGUUCUAAAAUUAGGUAAUGAUGGCUGCAAAACAUUGAAUAUACCCCAAAAACCACUGUAUUUUAUUCUUUGAUAGAGUAAAUUUUAUAUCAAUUUACAUUUAUUAUAAUUUUAUCUCAAACUAAAUUACAAAAAAUAAUUGAGU
ensembl:lncRNA